ACCUUACCAAGGCUUGACAUCCCUGGAAUCAUUCCAAGAAAUUGGAGAGUGUCCUUCGGGAACGCAGUGACAGGUUGGUACAUGGCUGUCGUCAGCUCUGUGUCGUGAGAUGUUGGGGUUAAGUCCCGCAACGAGCGCAACCCACGUUUUUAGUUGCCAGCAUUCAGUUGGGCACUCUAGAAAGACUGCCCGGUGACAAACCGGAGGAAGGUGUGGANGACGUCAAGUACAUCAUGCCCCUUACGCCUUGGGCUACACACGUACUACAAUGCUGCUGGACAAAGAGUAGCGAUCUUGCGAAAGUUAGCUAAUCUCGUAAACCGUGGCUCAGUUCAGAUCGUGAGGCUGCAACUCGCCUACGUGAAGGAGGAAUCGCUAGCACAUCGCAGGUCAGCAUACUGCGGUGAAUACGUUCCCGGG
rnacentral:rRNA from 1 species